UACGAAGGGUGCAAACGUUUGCUCGGAAUUAUUGGGGCGUAAAGCGCACGUAGGCGGCUUAGCAAGUCGGAUGUGAAAGCCCCUCGGCUCAACCAAGGAAGUGCAUCCGAAACUGCUGAGCUUGAGUACUUAAGAGGAUCGCGGAAUUCCCGGUGUAGAGGUGAAAUUCGUAGAUAUCGGGAGGAACACCAGUGGCGAAGGCGGCGAUCUGGGAAGAUACUGACGCUGAGGUGCGAAAGCGUGGGGAGCAAACAGG
rnacentral:rRNA from 1 species